UGGGGAAUUUUGGACAAUGGGGGCAACCCUGAUCCAGCAAUGCCGCGUGUGUGAAGAAGGCCUUCGGGUUGUAAAGCACUUUUGUCCGGAAAGAAAACGUUCUGGUUAAUACCUGGGGCGGAUGACGGUACCGGAAGAAUAAGCACCGGCUAACUACGUGCCAGCAGCCGCGGUAAUACGUAGGGUGCGAGCGUUAAUCGGAAUUACUGGGCGUAAAGCGUGCGCAGGCGGUUUUGUAAGACAGGCGUGAAAUCCCCGGGCUUAACCUGGGAAUUGCGCUUGUGACUGCAAGGCUAGAGUGCGUCAGAGGGGGGUAGAAUUCCACGUGUAGCAGUGAAAUGCGUAGAGAUGUGGAGGAAUAUCGAUGGCGAAGGCAGCCCCCUGGGACGUGACUGACGCUCAUGCACGAAAGCGUGGGGAGCAAACAGG
rnacentral:rRNA from 1 species